AAAAAAAAAAAAAAAAGAAGAUAAACCAGUUCAAAGACACAAAUUUUGAAUCCAAAAUAUCGCAUUUCAACUUGAUUAGAACCCGUGUACCACAUCUUGUAUGUAAGAAAUGCUGCUAUACAGUUUGCCUCACUGGGACAUUUGAUCAAGUACCUUAUGGACAUUUUCGGGUUCGACUGCACAACUGUUAAUUCUGAACUUCAAAAUUUGAUUCGACUUCUUGGAAGUUGAAACGGCCUUAAAAUGGUGGCCCAGAGGAGGCUGGAGUUUCAGACAGUAUGCCAUUUGGUCAACGGCUUCAAUACUAUUUCUGGAUUUUGAUUCUACUGUCUAUCGAAACACUUUCUUCGCAGGUUGUUCCGUUACUGUCCAUGUGAGUGCAAUUGCGUGUACGCCUGUGAGUAGGUGGGGGAUGGGAGAUGACGUGAGAACUUUGGCAAUAAAAGAACAACAGAAUCAUGCUCAUCCGUCAACAAAUGUGUACAAAAUUACAAGUAGCUAAAUUGCAGGACAACACUUUCUACA
rnacentral:lncRNA from 1 species